rnacentral:rRNA from 1 species
UACGUAGGGUGCGAGCGUUGUCCGGAAUUACUGGGCGUAAAGAGCUCGUAGGUGGUUUGUCGCGUUGUUCGUGAAAACUCGCAACUCAAUUGUGGGCGUGCGGGCGAUACGGGCAGACUGGAGUACUGCAGGGGAGACUGGAAUUCCUGGUGUAGCGGUGGAAUGCGCAGAUAUCAGGAGGAACACCGGUGGCGAAGGCGGGUCUCUGGGCAGUAACUGACGCUGAGGAGCGAAAGCGUGGGGAGCGAACAGG